UACAGGGGGUGCAAACGUUGCUCGGAAUCAUUGGGCGUAAAGCGCACGUAGGCGGUCUGUUAUGUCGGAUGUGAAAGCCCUUGGCUCUACUGAGGAAGUGCAUCCGAAACUGGCAGGCUAGAGUACUAAAGAGGGUCGCGGAAUUCCCGGUGUAGAGGUGAAAUUCGUAGAUAUCGGGAGGAACACCGGUGGCGAAGGCGGCGACCUGGGUAGAUACUGACGCUGAGGUGCGAAAGCGUGGGGAGCAAACAGG
rnacentral:rRNA from 1 species